GUGCUAGCUUCAGCAGCACGUAUACUAAAAUUGAAACAACAUAAAAAAGAUUAGCAUGGCACCCUGUGCAAGGAUGACACGCAAAUUCAUAAAGCAUUCCAUAUUUUU
rnacentral:snRNA from 1 species